CCUACGGGGGGCAGCAGGCGCGAAACCUUUACAAUGCGGGCAACCGUGAUAAGGGAACCUCGAGUGCCUGUAAACGCAGGCUGUUCAGGUGUUUAAAACGCACCUGGAGAAAGGGCCGGGCAAGACCGGUGCCAGCCGCCGCGGUAAUACCGGCGGCUCGAGUGGUGGCCGCUUUUAUUGGGCUUAAAGCGUUCGUAGCUGGGUUGCUGGGUCUCUUGGGAACGGGAGAGGUGAGGGGUACUUCGGGGGUAGGGGUGAAAUCCUGUAAUCCUCGAGGGACCACCUGUGGCGAAGGCGCCUCACCAGAACGGCUUCGACAGUGAGGGACGAAAGCUGGGGGAGCAAACCGGAUUAGAUACCCGCGUAGUCC
rnacentral:rRNA from 1 species